UGAAAUUGCCUGGAUGUGAGCAAUGUCAUGAAAAGCAAGUUGAGAAAAUUUGUAGGACUGAAGUUAGUUGUAUACAUCAAUCCCACUGAGUUUAAGGGGAUGAAUGGUGAAGGUACAGCUACCCAUGGAUCCUCUUGUCCUGAAAACAUCUUCUAAAGAGGAGAAACAUCCACUGAUGCAAAGGAAACUUGCCCAAAUGAAUUAAAAGAUCAACCAAGUCUGUCUGUUUGUCUCCAGUGCUAGCUGCUCACAAGCUCUCCUGUGUCUAUACAAUCUGCAUUUUCUGUAAGGACUGUUUCUGCACCUCAGCAUCCUCAGUGAGUUUUCUUCAUGCCUUCCACUGAAAUGCUUUGGAGUUAAAACAGAAGUAAGAUCACUCCUACAUGCUGUGAUGUCUCUUGCAGUGUUAUUACUCUUGCAGUAAGAAAAGCCCAAUGCAGUGAUCUUGGGAAAACAUUUACGAUGUAUAUAAGUUUAAAUGCAUCUAAAUCCAUUCUAUUUUAUGCUACGAGGAAGUUGUGAUUUUUUUUGUCGCCUUGACUUGAUUUUUUUCUGUUUGUUUUCAGAUCUUGUCAUAAUACUCAAGUUGCAAAUGAAGGCGCAAGUUUUACAGUUUUGUCUUUUCUGAUUUUUUUUUUUUUUGCAUAGAGACCCACAGUGUAAUGUGCCUUAAUUAAUGGAAAGCAAGAAUGGAUUGCAUAAACUCCCAGUGAAUAUUGUCUUAGCAAAUUAAAUCUGAUUUAAUGCUUUAAGCCGAAGACAUAUUUGCAUAGCUAAUGAAACUGAUUAACUUGGAAUUAAUUUGCAAUGUUUAGUCAUAAGGCUUAAAACUAAAGUGAUGUUAGUAAUGUGUUGAUUAUUAUUAGUACUCAAGAUAAUCAGGCUUGCUGGAUGAUUAAAUGUAAAUACAUAGUAAAAAAAUUGGUUCAGGUUAAUAAACAAUUUCAAAUAGGAAAAUGCCCCAUGAUGAUAAAGUGAAAUGAAGGAGUGUUAAUUGUACAAGCAGAAGUUAAGACAGCUCGAGUUCCCUCUUGUCUGCUGGAAGUGGGUGAAAAGCUGCUUCUUUUUAGCUUCCCUGUGAUUUGAUAAUGAUUUCUUUGUGGUCUGUGUUACACUUGUGCCCGGGAACACUCAGUAUGGGCCACGGACCUGACGUACCCAAGUGCUGUACAAACAGAUCUCGGUGAGCUCAGGGAAGUGUGGGCAGGAGCUGAUGGGUGGAGGAGAUGGUUUGUGUGCAUGGACAGCAGGGACCUUGGUUUGCCAGAAGCUUCAUUACAGCUAUGAUUUUUUUUCUUCCCCCCUCAGUUCUGCCAGCUUUGUAGGAAAGUUUUGCAAUGAGGACAGUGCAGAGGCUUUCAGAGAUGUAUAGGAAAAUCCCCCUUAAGAUAAGGUGUUUAUUGGACAAAGCAUGGAAGUGCAUGCUUAAAAAUGAAGUGGUGGUUGUGCUAAGAGGUGGUACUGCUGACUUGUAAGGAUGCAGAGGUUACUGGUCCCUUUGCAUAAAAUUGGCUAUUUAAAUUGAAGUGUUUUUCUAUGCUUUGAAUUUUCCUAGUGUGAGAGUCAGAUCAGAGGCGACUAGACAAUUUCU